rnacentral:rRNA from 1 species
CGCUGGCGGCGUGCUUAACACAUGCAAGUCGAACGAGACGAUUGAAAGCUUGCUUUGAAAGUCGAGUGGCAAACGGGUGAGUAACGCGUAGACAACCUGCCGCAAAGAUGGGGACAACAGUCCGAAAGGACUGCUAAUACCGAAUGUUGUCAGUUUCUCGCAUGGGAGACUGAUUAAAGAUGGCCUCUACUUGUAAGCUAUCGCUUUGCGAUGGGUCUGCGUCUGAUUAGCUAGUUGGUGGGGUAACGGCCUACCAAGGCGACGAUCAGUAGCCGGUCUGAGAGGAUGAACGGCCACAUUGGAACUGAGACACGGUCCAGACUCCUACGGGAGGCAGCAGUGGGGAAUCUUCCGCAAUGGGCGAAAGCCUGACGGAGCAACGCCGCGUGAGUGAAAGAAGGGUUUCGGCUCGUAAAGCUCUGUUGACGGGGACGAAUGUGCGAAAUGCGAACAGUUUUUCGCAAUGACGGUACCCGUCGAGGAAGCCACGGCUAACUACGUGCCAGCAGCGGC